rnacentral:lncRNA from 1 species
UACGCCUAAGACCGAUGCUAAGCAAAUCCGCCGUUUGCCAAAAAUUAGACCCCUCCACCAUACUGCUUCGUCUUCAACCCAACGUCCACACCCCUCCCUCACCUCUCAUACACCAGCUGACCCCAUCUUCUUCGGCUGAGAACCUAGAGAACACAGCCUUAGAGCAGAAGACCCCUUGAACCCCUUCUGUCCGUUUUUGAGUUCGUCGCCGAUCGAGAUUGUUCGACGUCGAUUCCGAUUCGAGCCCCGCUACUGCUCGAGGUUAAGGUCUGAGUUUCCGCUCAAGGCCAUCGAGGUCCGGACUGUUGAGCUCGUCAAUCAUAGCUUUGGCUUGGAGUACUUGUUCUGGACACUUAAUCAACAACGGUAAGUAAUUAAAAUACCUCGUAGUACUUAGCUAAAAAACACACAUUCAUGUUCUUAGUAAAGGAAAGUAACGGUUUUGUCCAAUCUUUUCUGCAGCUAAUGUCGACCAUUUUCGUCAUUCUUUAUCUGGUGAUAUUUUUGGGACGGAGGAAGUAAUAUACAAGGAAAGAGCUUGCUUAUCUGAGUUUUAGUGUUUCAUUUCCUUUCAUGUUUCAAGACUUCCUAUAAGUUAUUCUUAGUAUAUUUGCUGAGCUGAUAAUUUUAUAGUUUCUGUCUGUUUAAGCUUUCAAAUGCACGCAUGAUUAGUUUACAUAAAGCUUAUGGAAUCUUGUUUAAAUUGUUGAAUAUUGCCUUGGAUUUGUAUGCUAAAAAUUAUAAUUUACGGGAGAUUUUUCCAUGCCAUUUUGCUUA